UACGAAGGGGGCUAGCGUUGUUCGGAAUUACUGGGCGUAAAGCGCACGUAGGCGGAUUGUUAAGUCGGGGGUGAAAUCCCAGGGCUCAACCCUGGAACUGCCUCCGAUACUGGCAAUCUGGAGUCCGGGAGAGGUGAGUGGAAUUCCGAGUGUAGAGGUGAAAUUCGUAGAUAUUCGGAAGAACACCAGUGGCGAAGGCGGCUCACUGGCCCGGAACUGACGCUGAGGUGCGAAAGCGUGGGGAGCAAAC
rnacentral:rRNA from 1 species